ensembl:lincRNA
GGGAAGAGGGAAGAGGGAAGAAGACGACCCAGUGUUUGCCUCUGAUUAAUGUUGCAUGAAGGCAUGGGAGGAGGUUGUGGAUGGCCAUGUAUGCAACUGGAACAUAUUGCCAGUCAUGGCAUUGAUGACAGGCAUAGGAUGCCGUGAUGAAGAACAAUGUCAAUGGCUCAGAGGUCACUCAGCAUUUUCUCCACACGUUUGGUUUUAAUAUAUUUAUUCUUCGAAAGGUUUUCUUUUAAUCUCUUAUUUAACAUCUCUCCUUUUAUCUCCUAACAAUCUUUUGUUUCGUUUCGUUCCGAAAUAUUGGUCUUUGUUUUACCCUUACGGUAAACAUAUAACAACAAUAACAACAAUAACAACAAUAACAACAACAAUAACAAUAACAACAACGACGUCCAUGUUGACACGUUGCGCACGUGACGAGACACGAACGGCUGACGUCAUCACGCACAUUUGGGACCGUGAAUGUCAAAAGCCGCAGUUGAAGAAGACAUGGAGGGUGAGUGGGAGACUGUAGGAGUUGGAGAGAGAGUGGUAGCAACUCCUGCAAAUCCAAAUCGGCUUCCUCAUGAGCGGGUAAUUGUAAAAAGCUUGAUGUCCAGUUGCUCAUGGAAUGAGAGCGACCGGGGACCAAUUGAGGAGUCGUGUGCUAAUCAGAAACUCUGUAAUAUUGGUCUUCUGGACAAGGGAGAAAGAUCAGACAUGUUGGAGCUUGGUGUGUUGAAUUUGGAUCGGAUGGAAAAUGAAGGAAGGGAUUUGGCCGAGGCAUGGUGCCCAGAGUUGGGACCACUUCUUGCUGCACUUGCUGGGCCCCUGAGGCCUGGUGCUGGUGUCUGGUUAGUUCUUGGCUUGCUUCCUAUGUGGCCAUACUCAAGGUCUCAUAACAAGAUGGCUGCUUGUCUUUACCGCAACGCUCUUCAAGCUGCACAAGGUCCUGGUCGAUCCACAAGUAUAUGGGCAGAUGUGACAACAGCCAGACGUGUGUUGAGUGCGGUUGCAGCCUGGGCUUCUGGGAGUGAUGGCAAAAUGUCAAGCAGGGGGUUGGAGUCAGCAUCCUCAACUGAAGACGAUUUUGUGAUGGCAGUGGAGUCGGUGGAGGAUGACGAUGUGGAAGGGGCUUUCUCCGAUAGUCCCACAAGCCCAUCUGAUUGGAUGACUCCUCUCAGCUCUCCACUUUGGGGCAGUAAUUACUUCACAGAUGAUACAGUUGGAGGAACAUCACCCUGGCGAUGGCUUCAUGAGCCUUCACCUCGCUUCUCAGAGGGGGGGCAAAGUAAACAAGGAAAGGUGCGAUCCCUGGAUUCAGCCUCCCAAUUGAACUUCAGCAAGCAUACAGCCAGGCAUUUGGCCAGAAGUUUUGGGAUACAGCAAGGUGUGUUGGUCAGAAAGGAGACUCCACUUAAAGAAAGGAAGUUGGAGGAUUCAAAUACAAUUGAGCAGCUGCGUCUGAAAGUGAGAGACAUACCGCAUAAUCAUAAAGGGGUUGCAGAAACUGGGCAUAAAAACAACCUUGAAAUUGAGGACAAAGUCAAAAGGUCAUUUGUUGAAAAUGAAGAUUGUGAAGAAAUAGAGUCUGAAACAAGCCCAAGUCCCAUCAUCUUUCUUGAUGAUGUGAGCUGUCGUCGUGCUCUUGUUGCCACUAUUGUGCCACCCACAUUGCCUGACUCACUUUCUGUUGAUGUGUGUGGCUAUGAUCCUGAGGUUCGUGAUGCACUCCAGCACACAAACGAUCUCCUGCAUGCCACAUCACCAGAUCCUCAACACUUCUGUGAGAGUCACCUCGCUCAGAUAUGUGUGCCCAAACCAUUGCCACGUCGUGUGCCUAGACACUUGACUCAAAAUGCAACUUUUGUGGCCUCUACAUCUCUCUUACCAUGCACAUCAUCUAUUGGACCAGACAGACAUUCUGCUUUUGCUCCACCUGAAUUUGGAAGUGACAGCGACUUGGCUGGGCAUGUUGAGGGCCCCAUUAGUAAGUCAAGGUCUAACCAACAUAGUACUAACUUGGUGGGAGAUGCACAAGAGAGAGCUGCAGCAGUGAUUGCUGAUCGCAUAGCACAAUGCAGCAUGUGGGAAGGUUACGGUGCCUUGGCAAUUGCAACCGUCCUUGUUCGGCAAGCUUUAACAGAUGCAUUGGCAGAAUUCGCUAUGAGGCAGAAGCUUGCAUCUAUUGCUCGAGUUUUAGCAGUGGAACUGAUAUCCACAGGCACGGCUGAAGCUGGGAUUGAGACGCAGCGACGACGGGGAGUGAUGGUCACUCAACUGGCAAAGGACUUGGCUGAGCAGGCUGUGUUUGAGGGUACUAUGGAAGCUCAAUACUUUGCCUCAGGAGAAGUAGUAAUGCAUAGAGCAACUGCAGCUGUGAGACAAGCUGGAAGAAAGCUGAGACUAGGAGAGCAGGGAAAGAAUACUGAGGAUAAAGCAAUUGGGGUGACUGAUGGCUGUCUUUCCUCAAAUCCAUUUGUGAAUCAAGAUAUUUUGUUAAGACCAACAGAAGAUGCAAAUAAUCAGACUCAUUUGCUUCAGGAAGCAAGGCAUAUACUUCCAUCUCCAACUCCUUCAUCUCUUGGUACGCCCCUUUGUUUGCCAAUGUUCAGUUCUUUGCGUGCAAAAGACAAAAAUGUUAUUUCAAAAAGGGAGGAUGAGGAUAUUGGCUUGAACGAGCAAGUGCACAUCAAAAUGCCAGGAACAGACACUUUACCCUCAGUUAUGCCUCAGUCAUCUAUUGUACCAUGUUCAAUUGCUCAUCCAACCACCUCUUUAUCAGCCUUCUCCUCUGCCUUAGCGAUAGGUGUUGUUUCCUUAGCAACUGAAUUGGCAGCUUUGUACCUUGAAGACUUUAGACCAGCAGGUCUUCACUACCGCUCCCGUCGCUGGUGCUCAACCCAUCGGCGUAGACAUCGUUAUGUCCCUGCAUUUUCAGAUAAUGAAGAUACUUCAUCUGGUAUUGACACAGAUGCUUCCGAUGAUUGUGACGAACCUUCAUGGCCUGGGCCACCAGCUGGUUUUGAGCCACGCCGUGCUGCUCGUCCUGGCCUCCGGGCCUAUGGGCGUACAGUUGCAACAGCUGUUUUGAAUGCAGCAGUAACUGCAGCGAGCCAGGUGCUUCCACAGCCACAAAGACAUCAAACGAGAUGUAGCCAGAAGGUUGGAUUGAUUGAGGCUGCUGAGUUGUGGGCUGGGGCCAUUUUGCAUGAAGCCCUGAUGGAUGUUGACCUGGCAGGCACCUCUGAUAAAGGUGGUGGUGAGCCUUGGCAAGGAAAAGCUAAGGUUGAACUGGAUAGGGGUCGAAGAUCAAGGAGAACACGAGGCCAACCUGUGAAACGGGAAACCAGGGCUGUGCACAAAGCGGCCACAUUUGUGGAGGACCUGGCUGAUUCUAUCCUUCAAACAUCUGUUUCCGAAGUGAUGGAAAGGGGCUGUGUUGGGUUGGAGCCAUCUUUUGUGGAGGAAAGUGAGGCUUGCAGGGGAGGCAUGAUGAGCCAGGCUAGCAAUGGCAGCUGGGUACACAUUGCCGUGGAGGAACCCAGUGAGGGUGUAACCAGCCAACCAAGCAGUAGUUGGGGGAGCCUCGGAGCUGAUGAGGGAUCGGAUGAAAGUUUCUCUUUUCCUGGUCUCUCGGACAGCGAGGCUGCAGAGGUUAAUCUUGUCACAAAAACAGACAAAGCAGAUCCAGUGGCUGGCCCAGCUGGCAAUUGCAGUGAGAGUCGUGAACUUCUGCUCUUGCCCUUUGAUAAUCUGAAUAGUGGGAUUACCCGACAAGCUCUGCUAAUCCAUUGGCUGGCUGCAUCCAGCUUUGGCCUUUCUGGGUUGGCCGUGCCAAGAUACCUUGUGCCAAAGCCAGACAAGUUUGAAUUGGCUGUUGCUGCUGUUCAUGGUUCUGGCAUUUCACUGGGAAGCCUCAUUCAGGCUUUGGAGGAGAGAGAACAAUCCGAGAUGAUUGAAAUACCAGAAGGCGGCACUGCCUCGAUGGAUGACGAGGAACAGCUCGCGAACAGUACAAAAGGCCUCCAUGCAGCUUCACUGCAAUCCUUGCAAUGCAUCUGGUUGGAAAGAAAUCUCACAUUACUCAAUGGGCCAGGUUCUUGGAGGAGCUGGAACACGGAAUGGACGAGGAUGUAAAAGAACAGUAGACCGGGGGACAGAGGGUGGGGACCCACCAACAGCAGAGUAGAGGGAUAAAAUAGAUGGAGACUUUGAGGAAUAAAGGUCAGGGAAGAAUGAAAGCAAAUGGAGGAAGGCGGGGGGGGGCAUGAAGAAGAUGGACAGCGCCACAAACUUUCAAUCACGGAUGUGGAACGGAAAACUCGUGAACAAGCAAAAUGGAACAAUUUUUUUAAAAUAUAAUUGUACAUAUAUAUUGUUACGGGCAUGAGUACCGAGUGUAUUAUGAGGGGGUUAAUCCCUGUUUCUCCGCGGAAGAACCGGACCUGGGGCCACCGUUCACAAUUAACUUGGUGGUGCGGUGGGUUGCCUAACAACCACGAACGCCAAUCAGUUAACCACGAGUUUGUGUGUCUACCAUCUAAUUUGCCGUUUAACUAGAGGUCACGUGGCUUCCUGACCGAAGAACACGCCCUCGGCGAUGCACCAGUCUUAUUUUGAUUAGAUCUUAAGUAAUGUGGCCGAGCGUUUACUGCUGGUGCAUGCUGAUUAUGAUUGGUUAAUUAGUUUGGGAACUACCUCCCAGUCUAUCGAGAUUCGGACAAUGCUGGAUCAAUUUAAGGAAAGGACAAGCACGGACAGGUUGAAACGUCAACAAGGAAUUUAUUAUUAACAAGAAAAAAUAAAUGAACUGACGGACUUUUUAUUUCCUUGUCAAUUAAAUGGUUGAAUUCAAAUCAAACGUUCAAUCAAUAAAAUAAUCUCAAUCAAAUAAAGAAUUCAAAAAUUAUUUAUAGAAAAAUGGGCAAAGAGCAGAUGCUUAUCACUAUGCCUCGCUUAACAAUUAAAGAUGAGACAUGGGUACUCAUCAGACCAUUCAGGGGGAAAAGAAAUCCGGUCUCGGCCGACUCGGGCAGAAGUGCGUCUUUUAGAAUAACACAAAAUGUGUAAGCAUGGCUUGGUCUGCCUCUUUGAAUGAGCUCUCCACAGCUUGGCUCGUUUCUGUUGUUAGCUCUUUGCCUCGUCGUGCACCCACUCGCAAACAGGCUCGAAUACCAAUCGAGGUCACGUCGUCAUUUCCAGGAACCAGGAACGCCAAGAACCAGCGAGAUGGAGCAGAACCAGCAACAACAGUCCAACUGUCAGGAGCUGUCACCAACGGCUAUUGCAACUGUCAUCAGGAUCUCUCACCAACUGUCAUCAGAGCGGUCCUGCCAUCCGUUUACAAGCGACCAGUGUGGGUGGAGCCUCAAGCACGACUUCAGCCAAAUCCAGCUUGCUUCUUGACUCAUUUUUGCACGAGACCUCCAACCAUCCAUUCUCGCGCUCAUUUUCUCUCGACCACUGAACGAGAUGAAACUCCCAAUUAACAAAGGCCUGGCUUACGACGCCAUGUUUGGGGCACUGGACGAAUGCGAGAAAGUAGUCACUUGCCGGAACAAACGAGCGGAAACAUGAAGCGCUCACAGAAUGUUAAUGGGCAAUCACCUCUUUGGUUACCACGAUACGAAGAAGAACCGGUCAGCGUCCAGAGAGCCGCUGAAUGGGGCGUCAAUCGCCGAUGGAAAAAGUUGGGUGUCGAACGUCAAUGGAAAAAGGUAGGUUGUUGAUCGUUGAUGAAAAAAAAAAAGGUGGGUGCCUGAGGUAAACGAUCCGAGACCACAGCCAUGUUUGAUCGUCAGAAUGAACUGUUCGGGAAAAGCUUGCGGUGUGAUUAAUGACUCAAAUGUCCUGUAAGUCCAAUGUGAUAAUGAUAACUAAAAUAAAAUGUGUAAAUAAAUCCUGUAUUUCCAAGCCAACGUAUCUUGAUGGAAAGGGGAAAUGGAAAGAAACGCAUCUCAUAUGAUGGAAAGAAACGUAUCUCAUAUCUUGAUGACGAGAACGAUUAUCCGUUGGACUCAUGGCUGUCUUAUCACGUGCAUGAACGGUGAAUUAUGCCUAAACAAACUUGUUCAAUUAUUAUUCCUUCACAAACUUGUACACCCAAGGCUUGGGGAACAUUUGUGUGAAGUUUCCUCUCGAUCUGUCCAGCCGUUCUGGAGAAGAAGAUUUUUAUUGGUUUUAGGAUAAACACAAGAUGGCUGCCAAACCAUGUAACCUAUGACAUCAUAUAUGUGAAUCUUUUGUUCCUCGUGGAUAGGCGGUCAUAAGUGCGAAGUUUCGCUUCAAUCUGGUCAGGCACUUCAGAGAAGAAGAUUUUUGAAGGUUUUUGUAAAAAACAAUAUGGCUGCCGAAUCAUGUUACUGAUGACGUCAUCAAAAAAUUUUCUGUGGACCAUUUUAUUCCGAGGUGACCCUCAAAAAUUUUCAUACUAAUCAGAUAUGGCAUUCUACAUGUGCAAUUAUGAUGUCAUAACGAAGGCAUCUAUGAUGUCAUAAAAAAUCUCACUUUUUCCCCAUGAGUACAUGCUAUGUGCCAAGUUUCAUUUUUAGCAGCGUCUCGCGUAGCGAACGCUGCUCAAAGAGAGCUCGGCGUUGUUCUUGUUCUUGUGAAGACAAAACCUUAAUCUCUCGGACUCGGCUCUUGUAUAUACAAGAUCCGGAUGUCCUGAAAUACUGAGCACAUGUACACAUCCUCGCAUUGAGGGUUCCUUUUGAGAGCGUCUAUCAUGAACUUUAAAUAUAUUCGGACAUUUGCUUUCAAGUUUCGAAAAGUUCACGUUACUAUUUAAAGAUUAUUCCAUUUAUCGUAUUGUAAUUUCGUAAAUACACGAUAUAUCGUAAAUACAUUAUGAUGGGUUUCGCUAUUGGCUUAAUCAAGGCACGUGACGAAAUAUCGGAAGUUGUUAUUUUAAAAAAAAUUUUUUUUUUUAGCCGACAAAACCUUUAGGACGCUGCCCUUGAACACAUUUGUCCUUGUUUUCCCUUGGUGCAGUUUUGGAGAUACAGAGGUCCAAAGUUUUUUUUCCCGUUUUUCCAACAUGGCUGCCAUACCACGUGACCUAUGACGUCAUUUUGAUGAAAACAUUCUACUUGAGUAAUCGCAGCUAUGGGAAAAAUUUUGUCUCAAUCCAACAAGCGCUUGUGGAGAAAAAUACAAAAGUUAUUAUGUGGACAAACAAACAGACCCAAAAGCAAUACCAUCUCCUCUGGUGUGGGUAAUUCACAGCAUCCUUAAACUUCUGCUUAUCAAAACAAUGAAAACUUGAGUAUUUCUUUCUAGAAAGAAUGCUCUGUCAAACCUGACACAUAAAAACAUUAAAAUAGUUUUUUUAAAAACCUGGUCAAUCACUUUGAAGAGUGAAUCCCUCACUUGUACUAAAUCCAAUUUUUUUUUUUUUAACCAAGUCAAGGCUCAUGUAAGAGCUAACGCACAGAAACGUAUAACAAGGCAGGAGACAAGAGGGGCGGGAGAGGGAAGCACAAAAUAGUGGGGAACAAAGACAAUAGGAGAUCAGUGAAAGGGAGAGGGAUGGGGAACAACUUUGUAUAUAAAGUUCCCUAAUUUUGUAUACAAAGUUCCCUGUCCCCCAACGACUUUGUAUGUAAAGUUGAAAAAUCAAAAACUCAACUGACUUGAUAUUGAGGCGUAUAAUCCUAUCUAAUAACUCCAAAGAAGAAUUAAUGCUCCAUAAAGUGUUAACACCAGAAUUCUUCACAAUUGCUAAACAAUAUUUCCUGAACUUGCAAGCCUGAGUUAACGAUAACCAAUAACUGUUUGGUAGAAUACUGUGUUGUGUGUAAGCAAAGACAGCACACGCGAAGGAUAUUUUGCUCAUCUGCCUUUAAUCACGUCUCGUGCUCCACACUCGACAGCUCGCUGACGUCACUCUCGGUUCCACCUCAUCAGUUCUGGCUCAUCAUGCAUUCGUUAAUAUUCAUGCAACACCCAAUACCACAUAUUCUUUUUUUCGUGACAAUAACAACUGCCUGGCACCUGCUAUAAGCCUAUACUUGUACUGGUUCUUAUGAAGCUUAGGGAUCCAGAAAAGCCAAGGAAUACAAAGAUUUACCUUUUUACAUUUAAGACUGAAAUUAUUAACUAAAACUUCCUGAUGCUCAGACAUAUUAUCUUGGGAUGACUUAUGACAAGGAACAUAUGUGCUAUUUCCUAUACUUGUGAAAAUAAACCGUAUCAAUGCCUAACUCUUCAUAAAACCUCUGCAUAAAACCUUUUCAAACCACGACAAAAUUAUUAGCAGCCUUAUUCACUGGAGCUAUUAUGUAGCUAUCAUGGAGAACCCAAAUGUCUUUACGAACACUCGGCUUGUUCAACACUGGUUUAGACCGACCCAAUGAAAGCAAGCCCCGACUUCUAAAACAAACAAUCCUAUUACCCAGGACUUUCACAACUCUGUUAAACCAUCCAUUGAAACCGUUUACAAAUAACUUGAAUUUGGUGCACAUUUUGUUAACAAAAUUGGAGACAGAAUCCACAAUUGAAGACCUAAUGCAGCUCCACGGUUGAGUUACUGGUUCCCUAUAUUUAGCUCCCAUUUUCAUAAGAUCCCUAAUUUCAUCAUUACUAAUUAUAAUCAAAUCCCCAGAAACUACGUGUCCACAAGGACCAUAUAAAAAGGGGAAGACAAACAUGCACAGUCAGUUCCUAAAAUGUCCUUUACUAUAUCUAUUCUAUGAGUUUUAAGAAAUUUACCGUAAUUUCAUGAGGAUUGUCCUAUUGUCUUAAUAAAAGUGAAAUAAACCUUCAAUGGGGUUCGCUCCUUAACUUUAUCUGGUUAUCUCUACACUAGUAUCCCUAAAAAUAGAAUGAAGCUGAAGCCUAUCUACCUGCUUGCUGGAAGAAAAACCAGAGAGUUAGUGUCAAAGCCACCCAAUGCUCGUCUGUUUAUACAUUUAUCGUUUUUGGGGGGGGGGGGGGGGGGGGGGGGGGGGGGGGGGGGGGGGGGGGGGGGGGGGGGGGG